CAGUAAUACAUUGUUUCAAACUAAACUAACCAGAUCGAGUCCGUUUGAAACUGUCCUAGUAUAAAUGCAGCCUAAAGUUUUUUUUUUGUGCUUUUUUCUGUAUCCAUCUUCUCAGAAACAAUUGGGCCUCACGAUGUUGAGAAAUUUACAGCAGCAUUAGUCAAUCUCAGCAAUGCAAAUUCUCAACAGCAUUCAGACUGUGUUAAUACUCCGUGCCAGUUUCAGCACAGAGUAGAUAAACGGCAAAACAACAAUACUCCUAAAACACCUCACCUGGUAGAAUUAGCAAUAAAAGACGAUUUUGAAGAAGUGGACAAGCAUACUGGAGAAUUGAUAAUAGCAGAGACUGGGCAUCUGGAAUUGCAUCUGGACAAGAAGGU